rnacentral:rRNA from 1 species
AUUGAACGCUGGCGGCAUGCCUUACACAUGCAAGUCGAACGGUAACAGGUCUUCGGCUGCUGACGGGUGGCGAACGGGUGCGUAAUACAUCGGAACGUGCCCAGACGUGGGGGAUAACGAGGCGAAAGCUUUGCUAAUACCGCAUACGAUCUAAGGAUGAAAGCAGGGGACCGCAAGGCCUUGUGCGUUUGGAGCGGCCGAUGGCAGAUUAGGUAGUUGGUGGGAUAAAAGCUUACCAAGCCGACGAUCUGUAGCUGGUCUGAGAGGACGACCAGCCACACUGGGACUGAGACACGGCCCAGACUCCUACGGGAGGCAGCAGUGGGGAAUUUUGGACAAUGGGCGAAAGCCUGAUCCAGCAAUGCCGCGUGCAGGAUGAAGGCCUUCGGGUUGUAAACUGCUUUUGUACGGAACGAAAAGGCUCUGGCUAAUACCUGGGGCACAUGACGGUACCGUAAGAAUAAGCACCGGCUAACUACGUG